CCUACGGGAGGCAGCAGUGGGGAAUAUUGGACAAUGGGCGCAAGCCUGAUCCAGCCAUGCCGCGUGAGUGAUGAAGGCCUUAGGGUUGUAAAACUCUUUCAGUGGUGAAGAUAAUGACGGUAACCACAGAAGAAGCCCCGGCUAACUCCGUGCCAGCAGCCGCGGUAAUACGGAGGGGGCUAGCGUUGUUCGGAAUUACUGGGCGUAAAGCGCGCGUAGGCGGGUUGGUCAGUCAGGGGUGAAAUCCCGAGGCUUAACCUCGGAACUGCCUUUGAUACUGCCAGUCUAGAGAUCGAGAGAGGUGAGUGGAAUUCCUAGUGUAGAGGUGAAAUUCGUAGAUAUUAGGAAGAACACCAGUGGCGAAGGCGACUCAUUGGCUCGAUACUGACGCUGAGGCGCGAAAGCGUGGGGAGCAAACAGGAUUAGAUACCCUGGUAGUCCACGCCGUAAACGAUGGGUGCUAGCUGUCAGGCGGCUUGCCGUUUGGUGGCGCAGCUAACGCAUUAAGCACCCCGCCUGGGGAGUACGGUCGCAAGAUUAAAACUCAAAGGAAUUGACGGG
rnacentral:rRNA from 1 species